GAGGAAGAGAGGGCUGAAGGUACGGAAGGCAGCUGGAGGGAGCUGGAAGACGUUCUUUGCGAUCGGGAAGCCCCUGGGGGCGGGGCAACGUAAACCAAUGAGGAUCAGCUCCCUGUUCCAGCCCGCCACCUCACACGCAGGCUGCCAUGUGGACAGUGUGACCAUGCGUUCAGCUAAGAGUGAGGAAUCCUUAUCGUCCCAGCACAGUGGAGCAGGUAGGCCAUAACUCACUGACGCUAGUACUGCUACUCAUCUCAGCAGGUUAAGUCCUUGCAGACUGAUCGAUAGCAGAGCCUCUCUCUUCUCAUCCUUUAAGUAUAGAGUAUGAGAUGUCUCUUUCAGGGGAGGCUGUGCAAGAGAAGGAAUAUGUCUGGAAGCAGUGAUGAUAGUUUGAGUGAUUUUGGGACAUUCGGAGUAGAAUGGGUCCUUUGGGAGCUGGUGGAGCUGUGUGUUAGUCACUGAGCACUACAGAGACGCUUAUUUUAAACCCUGACUAUUCCUUCUUUUUUUCCCUACCUCUCCUUCUCGCUCUCUCAGGACAGUUGAACCGUCUGCGGCGGCCCCGCUCCAGCAGUGAUGGUCUGUCUUUGGCUGCCUCCAUGGACCCCCAGCACCUGCCCCAGCGCCCCCCGUCCCGCCUGCCUUCCAGCCGCUCGUAUGACAGCCUGCUGCCUGAGGACCGCCGGCCCAGGGACGAUGGAGACAAUGAGGAGGAUGAAGACGAGGAAGGCAUCUACAUGCUGCCUGACUUCUCCAACCAGGACCCGGCUGCUUCCUGGAUGGCCGAGGACGUCAUUGACUUCAGUCCGACCUUCCUGGAGGACGGACCAAUCGGCUUGGGCAGCAGCGUAGUCACCGCGGGCGGCAGAGAGUCCCCGCCCACUGCCACGCCCCCUCCCUACCGCUGCCUCAGCCACCAAGGACACUCUCACUCCAGCAGCCAGCGCUCAAUCACAGAGGACCCCGACUCGGUGCUCAACCAAUCGGAUGCGGCCGUCAGGAGAAGUCUGAUCAUCGCCGCCACAGCCCCGCCCCUUCAGGUGUUCUGUCAACACAGACCGGCCAAUACCAGCCCAUCUGCCGGCCAAUCAGGGGAGGGUGCCAACCUGAGUACCUCACACAGUCAAGGCCAGGGCCAGCCCACUACACCUGUGACCUCUGCCCCCUCUGCUCAGCCCCCACCAGAGAGAAGAUCUUUCACCCGGAAGAUGGUGAAUGCCUUCUCACAAAAAUCCCCCAAGUCCCCUACACUGGACAUCUCUGACCCUGUCUCCAUCAGCGUCCCUGCCAAGGUGUUGGACAUGAUUGGCGGGCGAGCUGGCGAAUUACAGCCUGGCAUCCCGAGCAGCGGCCCCUCCCAGUCGCAGCCUCCUCAGAUGAUCUCCAUGCUGCUGAGGUCAUGUGACUUCCAGCUGACGGAGAGCUGCCAGCAGGAGAUCCGCAGCAAACUGGGCCCCGAGGCCAAGAUCAGAGGACAGGGUAUAACAGAACCCACCGGUCCCCCCCUGCUCUCUCAGCCUCCCCCUCCCCCUCCUAAAAACCCAGCACGCCUCAUGGCCCUGGCCCUGGCUGAGAGUGCCAACAAGGCCCUGAGACAGGGCGCCUCGCCCCCCUACCGCCCCCCUCAGUCCCGGUCCCAGGACGCAGCCGACACCCGCUACCAGAGGUCUCUGUCUGCCGAUGCAGGAGAGCUGCUGUCCUCUGACCCCAAUCAGCUCUACUCCACAGUGCGCCCCCUGUCUGUGUGGAUGACCGAGGGAGAGGGAAACACGACAGAGACUGCAGCAGAUACAGGACACGGCCAGGGAGAGAGGACUCCAGGACAGGAUAUGGGGACCCUGUCCUCUGAGACGUCUGACUCUGUGGCGUCCAACUCGGAGCUGUCUGGUGGGAGCGCCUCUGGAGACGACCAGACCCCCAGCCCCAUCUACAAGAACCAGAAGCAGCUGCCCCAGUCACAGCCUCCCAACCCAGGCCAGUCUGGGGAGAGACCUAGCCCCACUGAGUCCCAGUCUCAGAGGAAGCCCCCAGCCUACUCACGCCAGUUCUCUGCCCCUCACCUCCAACAGAAAUCCACCUCCACCCAGUCCAAGCCGUCCUCGGCCCAGCUCCUGCACUCCAAGUCAGAGUCCCCUCUGACUCAGGUCCGUGCCUUCCAGCCCACCCGCCCCAAAGUACCUCCUAAGCCCCUGGAUCUGGAGCGUCCCCACAGAGCACCACUGGCCCAGACUGAGAUGCGUCGCUCCCUGGACUCAGGGCGCAUCAGGCGGAUCUUUGGUCAGCAGGGGAACCCUCCUCUGGCCAGGGCCUUCUCAGAGCGUCUGAGUGGAGCUCCAGACCACCUCGCCCGCUACCACGCAGCCAGCCAACCAUCCCCGGGUCAGCAGCCUCCUCAGCAGGCCCAGAUCCGGCCCGUGCCCCUCUCCUCCACCUCAGAGGACCAGGGAAGGAUGGAAAACUUCUACUAUGAGAUCGCCGGGCCUGAGAACUCGCAGGGCCCCCCCAGCUACGCCCGCCACAGCUACCAGAACAUGAGGCUGGACCUGGAGGGUAACUUCCGCCCGGCCCCCCACCUAGAGGCCAACAAAAGGCCCAUCUCUCGGGGACAUCACCAACACCAACCCCAGCCUCUCCACCACAACCAGGGUGGACCCAGGGAGAGUGGGCCCCAGCUCUGGUCCAAAGAGGUCACGCGGGCUUGGGCAGCCGCCCACUCCCAGUCCCAUUCAUUCUCCCACGGACACUCCCACUCUCACCACCACUCCCAGGACGGCUCCACCCACCACCAUCACCCCUCUCACCACCACCCCCGGCCCCAGCGCCAGACCUCCUCCUCAGUCCGGCUGGCCCGUAGUGAGAUGCACCCCCUCCCCUCCUCCUCCAUGGUUCCCCUGGCGCUCCACCAGCACCAACGCAACCUCCACCGCUCCAAUAGGUCAGCCUCCACAGACCUCACCGCCUCCCAGCUACACCCCUAUUUUGAAAACGGGAAGGUGUGCUAUCGUAAGCCAGAGGAUGCUCCUCUGAGUCUGAGCCAGCCUCCCCAGGGCAAGUCUCUCCAGCCAUCCCAGCCUUCCCCUCCCCAGGCCCACAGACCGACCUCCAAGGACCUGUCUGAGCCCAUCUACGUCAACUUCCCUUUCCCCAGCCCCUCUACUGGGGCCCAAAACACGAAGAGCUGGACCAGCACAGACCUGGAUGGAGACUCUCCACAGGAUUCUGAACCUCUUGCCACUCCAAACGACCCCCCUCCCCCAGAGGACCAGAGACAGUCCUCCCCCCGCCUGGUCCCUGACCAGGCAGGCUCCACCAGCGUCAGCCUCACCCCCUCCACUCCAGACAGCCCAUCCGCCCACAACGACUCGGCCGCAACGAGCCCAGGGAGCAUCCAGGAGAGCGACUUCCUCCCAGCGUCUACAUCGACAGGGAUCCACUACCGCAGCCGCUCAGACCCCCAGAGCUCCAGGUGCAGUACGGAGCCCAUCCAGGGCCUGUCGGGGAAGGAGAUCGCCUCCCUGCUGAUAGAGAAGCUGGCUGAGGAGGAAAGGGCUGAGGGUCCCUCCACAGUCACCUCCUCCUCUGCCUCCACCAGCUCCUCCCCUGCCAUGGAGCACCCUGCCAACCCCUACCCCAGCCAGCAGCACAACCAGUCCCCGCCUGCCUAUAAUGUCUACACCCCGGGCCCCUCACGGAUCAGGGCUCCUCAGAGGGCCGGGGCAGGGGGCUUCCAACGCCAAGACCCGCUCCGGAGGUCCUCGCCCGGGGGCCAGUACAGGCAGGCCUUUGACGUCAUGCCCUCAGGCGAUCAGGUGCUCAAAUACUACCGGACCCAAAACUUUACCCAGGGAGAGCACCAGAGCUCUGGCGCUAACCCCUACCCCCCUCGGCAGCACUACCAGGAGCCCCCCUACCCCAUCCAGAGCCCCCAGGACCCCUGCUCCUCCGGCUACCCCAGCCAGCCCCUCUUGGAGCCCUCAGACACCCCGUCUGCAACCUUCUCCAACCUGACGCUGGGAGCCCCCAGGCCCUACCCCGGCCAGCCAGGAGGCCUCCAGUACAGCCAGUACCCCUUCCAGCCUGGCCCGAUGCUGGGCCAAUACCCCAACACUCCCCCCCGCAGAGAUGUGGUCCACGAGCCGGUGCUGCGGCCGCAGGGUCUGAGGAACCAGAGAGGGCUGGCACGGCAGGGCAGCUUACCUGCACCAUCACCCAACUGGACCAUCCAUACUGAGGGUCAGACGCGCAGCUACUGCUGA
rnacentral:lncRNA from 8 species